rnacentral:rRNA from 1 species
CUCAAAUUUGAAAUCUGGCGUCUUCGGCGUCCGAGUUGUAAUUUGUAGAGGAUGCUUCUGAGUAACCACCGACCUAAGUUCCUUGGAACAGGACGUCAUAGAGGGUGAGAAUCCCGUAUGCGGUCGGAAAGGUGCUCUACACGUAGCUCCUUCGACGAGUCGAGUUGUUUGGGAAUGCAGCUCUAAAUGGGAGGUAAAUUUCUUCUAAAGCUAAAUAUUGGCCAGAGACCGAUAGCGCACAAGUAGAGUGAUCGAAAGAUGAAAAGCACUUUGGAAAGAGAGUUAAAAAGCACGUGAAAUUGUUAAAAGGGAAGGGAUUGCAACCAGACUUGCUCGCGGUGUUCCGCCGGUCUUCUGACCGGUCUACUCGCCGCGUUGCAGGCCAGCAUCGUCUGGUGCCGCUGGAUAAGACUUGAGGAAUGUAGCUCCCUCGGGAGUGUUAUAGCCUCUUGUGAUGCAGCGAGCGCCGGGCGAGGUCCGCGCUUCGGCUAGGAUGCUGGCGUAAUGGUCGUAAUCCGCCCGUCUUGAAACACGGACCAAGGAGUCUAACAUCUAUGCGAGUGUUCGGGUGUCAAACCCCUACGCGUAAUGAAAGUGAACGGAGGUGAGAACCGCAAGGUGCAUCAUCGACCGAUCCUGAUGUCUUCGGAUGGAUUUGAGUAUGAGCAUAGCUGUUGGGACCCGAAAGAUGGUGAACUAUGCCUGAAUAGGGUGAAGCCAGAGGAAACUCUGGUGGAGGCUCGCAGCGGUUCUGACGUGCAAAUCGAUCGUCAAAUUUGGGUAUAGGGGCGAAAGACUAAUCGAACCAUCUAGUAGCUGGUCCU